rnacentral:rRNA from 1 species
UACAGAGGGUGCAAGCGUUGUUCGGAAUUAUUGGGCGUAAAGCGCGUGUAGGCGGUCUGUUAUGUCGGGUGUGAAAGCCCUCAGCUCAACCGAGGAAGUGCGCCCGAAACUGGCAGACUUGAGUGCCGGAGAGGAUAGCGGAACACCCGGUGUAGCGGUGAAAUGCGUAGAGAUCGGAAAGAACACCAGUGGCGAAGGCGGCGACCUGGAUUUAGACUGACACUGAGGUGCGAAAGCGUGGGGAGCAAACAGG